rnacentral:rRNA from 1 species
GAUGAACGCUGGCGGCGUGCCUAAUACAUGCAAGUCGAGCGAACAGACGAGGAGCUUGCUUCUCUGACGUUAGCUGCGGACGGGUGAGUAACACGUGGAUAACCUACCUAUAAGACUGGGAUAACUUCGGGAAACCGGAGCUAAUACCGGAUAAUAUAUUGAACCGCAUGGUUCAAUAGUGAAAGACGGUUUUGCUGUCACUUAUAGAUGGAUCCGCGCCGCAUUAGCUAGUUGGUAAGGUAACGGCUUACCAAGGCAACGAUGCGUAGCCGACCUGAGAGGGUGAUCGGCCACACUGGAACUGAGACACGGUCCAGACUCCUACGGGAGGCAGCAGUAGGGAAUCUUCCGCAAUGGGCGAAAGCCUGACGGAGCAACGCCGCGUGAGUGAUGAAGGUCUUCGGAUCGUAAAACUCUGUUAUUAGGGAAGAACAAAUGUGUAAGUAACUAUGCACGUCUUGACGGUACCUAAUCAGAAAGCCACGGCUAACUACGUG